GAUAAACGCUGGCGGCGUGCCUAACACAUGCAAGUCGAACGGACUUUGAGGAAAGCUUGCUUUUCUUAAAGUUAGUGGCGGACGGGUGAGUAAUGUAUGAGCAACCUGCCCUUUAGUGGGGGACAACAGUUGGAAACGACUGCUAAUACCGCAUAAAAUGCAGAGGUCACAUGAUCUUUGUAUCAAAGGAGCAAUUCGCUGAGGGAUGGGCUCAUAUCUGAUUAGAUAGUUGGUAAGGUAACGGCUUACCAAGUCUGCGAUCAGUAGCCGGACUGAGAGGUUGAACGGCCACAUUGGAACUGAGAAACGGUCCAGACUCCUACGGGAGGCAGCAGUGGGGAAUAUUGGGCAAUGGGCGAAAGCCUGACCCAGCAACGCCGCGUGAAGGAAGAAGGUCUUCGGAUUGUAAACUUUUGUCUUAUGGGACGAUAAUGACGGUACCAUAGGAGGAAGCCACGACUAACUACGUGCCAGCAGCCGCGGUAAACGUAGCGUG
rnacentral:rRNA from 1 species